AUGCUCCUGUGUCACCAGCCCUGGGUCACAUGUCUGGCAGCACUAAUCAUUCUGUUGGGAAUGCUGGGAGACCCUGGCAAGUCCUCAGGAUUCCCAGUCUUUCUGCCUGUAAACUGGGGAUGUGGAAGCCCAAGGAAAUGCAUACAUACAGUCACUAGGUCCUGGGACUGCACGUGCUUGAGUUUUAGUGUUUGCUCUCUUUCGUUGGCAGCAGCACUGGGGAAUCCAGUCAUUUAUACCCCACUCUCCAGCCCGAGGGCCCCGCUUGCAGGAGCUCCCAAGCCAACAAUCUCAAUAACCUCUGAGAGGGAAAAAUCAAGUGAGAAUGAGGCCCAUCUGGGGCUGCCCCCACCCCCAGGCUGCCAGUUCUGCUUCUGUGGGCCAGCUUAGAGUUAGGGGUCAUUAGGGCCACCCGCCAGCCAGCUGGGUGCUCGAUGAGAGCUCCCCUCCCAGGCAAAGCAAUUUUCUUCCCUAGAAAGCGCUUCCGUGGCCAGAGGGGACAAGCGCUAGCCUCUAGGAAUGUCCCCACCCUUUGGGCCAGACGUGAUCACGAAGUCCUCUACUCAUGGGGGCCCGUCUAGACUGUGGCGGCAGAGCGUUACCCCCUUUUUCUCAGAUUCUUCCUUCCGCCCUAGGGUCCACUGGGCGGCUCUGAGGGACCCCUCCUGCCGUGGGCCUCAGUUUCCCCACUGAGAUCCUCAGGAAAGCCUGACCGUUAGGCUCAGACCGUCUAUGCCCCUCCUCCAAGCCCAAGCCUUUCCCGGGGUCACGCUGUGUCUGGCGGGGAGGGUUGUCGUUGUUUUGCAGCUUCAAGGAAGACCCCCGAGGACACCGCGAGGACCCGAACUUCCGCGAAACCAGUGCGGCAGCAGGCUCGGGGCGACAGGUUCCUGCGCAGAGGACGCGGACCAGCGGACUGGCGGACCGGCGGGGUGUCCGGAUCGCUCCCCGAGCCCCAUCGGACACUCGUGCGGGGACCGGACGGAGGGCGGCCCAGCCGCGCUCCGCUUCCUCUCGGCAACGCGUCCGACCGCGGCGCCCUCAUUGGCCGCGCGCCCCGCGGCCGACCAUUGGCUCCGCCGGCCCUACUUUACAUGGCCCGCUCUGGGCCAAUAGGCGCGAGGCGCCUACUUAACAUGCACGCUGGCCUCCAAUCAGCGGGCGCGGGGGCCGGGCCCCCACGUGCUGUUGCUAAGCUUGGGCUUCUAAAUUGUUACUACCGCGGCGGGCCUAUCCGAGCGGAGCCUCGCAGCUGUCAACAUUCUCGGCCCCGCCCGAGGCUUGCGGCCGGCUCCCAUUGGCCCCGGCCGGGCCCAGGGCCCGCCCCCGCCGCCCGAGCGCAGGCUCCCAUUUGCUGCGCCGGCCGCCGCUCGCCCUUAUGUGUCAAUUUGAGGGCCGCGAGGCGAAGGGGUGGCGGCCGAGCGCUCGGGGAGUCCGCGGGCGUCUGGGGAAGUGGGGCCGCCGGGCGCGCGGGG
rnacentral:lncRNA from 1 species